AGAGUUUGAUCCUGGCUCAGGAUGAACGCUAGCUACAGGCUUAACACAUGCAAGUCGAGGGGCAGCGGGAUUGAAGCUUGCUUCAAUUGCCGGCGACCGGCGCACGGGUGAGUAACGCGUAUCCAACCUUCCGUACACUCAGGGAUAGCCUUUCGAAAGAAAGAUUAAUACCUGAUGGUAUGAUGAGAUUGCAUGAUAGCAUCAUUAAAGAUUUAUCGGUGUACGAUGGGGAUGCGUUCCAUUAGGUAGUAGGCGGGGUAACGGCCCACCUAGCCGACGAUGGAUAGGGGUUCUGAGAGGAAGGUCCCCCACAUUGGAACUGAGACACGGUCCAAACUCCUACGGGAGGCAGCAGUGAGGAAUAUUGGUCAAUGGGCGAGAGCCUGAACCAGCCAAGUAGCGUGAAGGAUGAAGGUCCUACGGAUUGUAAACUUCUUUUAUACGGGAAUAAAGUAUCCUACGUGUAGGAUUUUGUAUGUACCGUAUGAAUAAGCAUCGGCUAACUCCGUGCCAGCAGCCGCGGUAAUACGGAGGAUGCGAGCGUUAUCCGGAUUUAUUGGGUUUAAAGGGAGCGCAGACGGGAGAUUAAGUCAGUUGUGAAAGUUUGCGGCUCAACCGUAAAAUUGCAGUUGAUACUGGUUUCCUUGAGUGCAGUUGAGGCAGGCGGAAUUCGUGGUGUAGCGGUGAAAUGCUUAGAUAUCACGAAGAACCCCGAUUGCGAAGGCAGCUUGCUAAACUGUAACUGACGUUCAUGCUCGAAAGUGUGGGUAUCAAACAGGAUUAGAUACCCUGGUAGUCCACACGGUAAACGAUGGAUACUCGCUGUUGGCGAUAUACUGUCAGCGGCCAAGCGAAAGCAUUAAGUAUCCCACCUGGGGAGUACGCCGGCAACGGUGAAACUCAAAGGAAUUGACGG
rnacentral:rRNA from 1 species